UCCCUGUUGGCUUGAUGGUAAAGCGUCCAUCUACAAUGCGGGAGACCUGGGUUCGAUCCCUGGGUCGGGAA
rnacentral:tRNA from 1 species